rnacentral:rRNA from 1 species
CGCAGCGAGAGGUGCUUGCACCUUUCAAGCGAGUGGCGAACGGGUGAGUAACACGUGGAUAACCUGCCUCAAGGCUGGGGAUAACAUUUGGAAACAGAUGCUAAUACCGAAUAAAACUUAGUAUCGCAUGAUAUCAAGUUAAAAGGCGCUACGGCGUCACCUAGAGAUGGAUCCGCGGUGCAUUAGUUAGUUGGUGGGGUAAAGGCUUACCAAGACAAUGAUGCAUAGCCGAGUUGAGAGACUGAUCGGCCACAUUGGGACUGAGACACGGCCCAAACUCCUACGGGAGGCUGCAGUAGGGAAUCUUCCACAAUGGGCGCAAGCCUGAUGGAGCAACGCCGCGUGUGUGAUGAAGGCUUUCGGGUCGUAAAGCACUGUUGUAUGGGAAGAAAUGCUAAAAUAGGGAAUGAUUUUAGUUUGACGGUACCAUACCAGAAAGGGACGGCUAAAUACGUGCCAGCAGCCGCGGUAAUACGUAUGUCCCGAGCGUUAUCCGGAUUUAUUGGGCGUAAAGCGAGCGCAGACGGUUGAUUAAGUCUGAUGUGAAAGCCCGGAGCUCAACUCCGGAAUGGCAUUGGAAACUGGUUAACUUGAGUGUUGUAGAGGUAAGUGGAACUCCAUGUGUAGCGGUGGAAUGCGUAGAUAUAUGGAAGAACACCAGUGGCGAAGGCGGCUUACUGGACAACAACUGACGUUGAGGCUCGAAAGUGUGGGUAGCAAACAGGAUUAGAUACCCUGGUAGUCCACACCGUAAACGAUGAAUACUAGGUGUUAGGAGGUUUCCGCCUCUUAGUGCCGAAGCUAACGCAUUAAGUAUUCCGCCUGGGGAGUACGACCGCAAGGUUGAAACUCAAAGGAAUUGACGGGGACCCGCACAAGCGGUGGAGCAUGUGGUUUAAUUCGAAGCAACGCGAAGAACCUUACCAGGUCUUGACAUCCUUUGAAGCUUUUAGAGAUAGAAGUGUUCUCUUCGGAGACAAAGUGACAGGUGGUGCAUGGUCGUCGUCAGCUCGUGUCGUGAGAUGUUGGGUUAAGUCCCGCAACGAGCGCAACCCUUAUUGUUAGUUGCCAGCAUUCAGUUGGGCACUCUAGCGAGACUGCCGGUGACAAACCGGAGGAAGGCGGGGACGACGUCAGAUCAUCAUGCCCCUUAUGACCUGGGCUACACACGUGCUACAAUGGCGUAUACAACGAGUUGCCAACCUGCGAAGGUGAGCUAAUCUCUUAAAGUACGUCUCAGUUCGGACUGCAGUCUGCAACUCGACUGCACGAAGUCGGAAUCGCUAGUAAUCGCGGAUCAGCACGCCGCGGUGAAUACGUUCCCGGGUCUUGUACACACCGCCCGUCACACCAUGGGAGUUUGUAAUGCCCAAAGCCGGUGGCCUAACC